GAAGGCGGCCCCCUGGACAAAGACUGACGNUCAGGUGCGAAAGCGUGGGGAGCAAACNGGAUUAGAUANNNGGUAGUNCACGCUGUAAACGAUGUCGACUUGGAGGUUGUGCCCUNGAGGCGUGGCUUCCGGAGCUAACGCGUUAAGUCGACCGCCUGGGGAGUACGGCCGCAAGGUUAAAACUCAAAUGAAUUGACGGGGGCCCGCACAAGCGGUGGAGCAUGUGGUUUAAUUCGAUGCAACGCGAAGAACCUUACCUACUCUUGACAUCCACGGAACUUGCCAGAGAUGGCUUGGUGCCUUCGGGAACCGUGAGACAGGUGCUGCAUGGCUGUCGUCAGCUCGUGUUGUGAAAUGUUGGGUUAAGUCCCGCAACGAGCGCAACCCUUAUCCUUUGUUGCCAGCACUUCGGGUGGGAACUCAAAGGAGACUGCCGGUGAUAAACCGGAGGAAGGUGGGGAUGACGUCAAGUCAUCAUGGCCCUUACGAGUAGGGCUACACACGUGCUACAAUGGCGUAUACAAAGAGAAGCAAACUCGCGAGAGCCAGCGGACCUCAUAAAGUACGUCGUAGUCCGGAUUGGAGUCUGCAACUCGACUCCAUGAAGUCGGAAUCGCUAGUAAUCGUAGAUCAGAAUGCUACGGUGAAUACGUUCCCGGGCCUUGUACACACCGCCCGUCACACCAUGGGAGUGGGUUGCAAAAGAAGUAGGUAGCUUAACCUUCGGGAGGGCGCUUACCACUUUGUGAUUCAUGACUGGGGUG
rnacentral:rRNA from 1 species